UACGAAGGGGGGCUAGCGUUGCUCGGAAUCACUGGGCGUAAAGCGCACGUAGGCGGCUUUCUAAGUCAGGGGUGAAAUCCUGGAGCUCAACUCCAGAACUGCCUUUGAUACUGGAGAGCUUGAGUCCGGAAGAGGUGAGUGGAACUCCGAGUGUAGAGGUGAAAUUCGUAGAUAUUCGGAAGAACACCAGUGGCGAAGGCGGCUCACUGGUCCGAUACUGACGCUGAGGAGCGAAAGCGUGGGGAGCGAACAGG
rnacentral:rRNA from 1 species